CGGCCCAACAAGGAAAGACAAAGGGAAAACACAGAACCAUGACAGUUUAGGCUCUCUAAUUAGCUGUCGCUGCACUUCGCUGAGAUGUUGUGGUUGCCAGGUUUUGUAUGAAUAGGCUGUUUUCUUCUGCGAGGUAGAAGAUUUGGUCGGCUGAAACCAAAUGGAGGCGAAGACAGUGGAGACGUCUCAAUUCCCCUCCGAUGACGAUCGCCACGCUCAACAGAUGAUCGUGCACCAGAACCAGGAAAUUAAGGGCUAGACCAAAGUCCAAGACCAGGGAAAGUCCAAAUCAAGCCAAGACCAAGUCAAGUUUGAGACAGAAAAUGGUCAAAUCCUCUUCAAGACUAAGACUAAGACUAAAAUCCAACAGGUUCUAGUCCAAAUUUGUUAAUUUCUUCUUUUUUUUUUCAAAUGGAAAACAGUUUGCCUUACAUAAUUGCAAACAAAGGUCCAAAAUGAGGGUUUAAAAAACACAUCCACUUUGUCUUUCAUUUCUGUCUGGAAAAAAUUACAAAUGUGUUGCUUGAAUGAAAAUUAGUUUUACCAGCAACACAGGAAUAUUUUCCUUGACAGAUACAAACUGUUAGAAUCAUUAAAUGUGCUUCACUCUUCACAUGUUCCAAGUAGUAAUAAUGGGCUAGUUAGUUAAUAAUGGGUUAGUUAAUGAAUAAUGGGUUAGUUAGAUAAUAAUGGGUCAGUUAGUUAAUAAUGGGUUAGUAUAAAUAUGUAAUUCUGUAUCUCUGUAUUUAAAGAAUGAAGAGAGGAGUACUUUGACAUUUUUAAUGUAAAAAAGCAGUCCUUGUAAACAGCGAGACUUGGCUUUGUGUGAUGCCCUCUGUAAACUAUAGCUUGUUAUUACGUCUGUUUUAAAUAAAUUACAUGUAAUUCUAGCGUUGACAUUUCUCUGUCCAGUCAUAUAAAUAUCUUGAUGUUGAUUCCUGCUAGUUUUACUUCUGCCAGGUUGCUGUCCAUAAUAUUAAUAAAAAGGUUUAUGUCUGUUUUUAUUUCUA